UGCCACCUUAUCGUGGUGGAGGGGUUUGAGUGUCCCAGUGAUCCUAGGGCUGUCGGAGGCUUCAUGCCUAUUUGGGUCGGGUCUGCCGGGGCAAACGGGUCCUAGGUGAGGGAUCGGACCAAGAGCAGCCCAAAUGUCGCUUAGAAAUAUAAACUGGUCCUGUUUAGAGACAGCGAUAUAGACAGGGUUCCUGCCUACAACCAGAGCUAUAGACAGAAGUCAGUUUUUCCAGUGUUUUAUCAGCCUUUAAUUUCCCCCCACUAGGCUAUGGGUUGUUAUUUUAAAUGGGGAUUUUUCUCCACCAGUGACAGUAAAGACAGAUUAGGCUAAAGGUUUAUAGUUGAGGGAUUAAACUGAUGGGAGUUGUGAACCAAUUGUGCCGUCCCAUCAGUUGCCUGUUGGCUUCACAUGCUGUUAUUUCUGAGUUUUGAUGCCUGAUCCUGCACCUCUGACUUUCUGUAACUUGACAUUUUUUAACCCAAACACGCAGCAGACCACUGAUGGAUGAUCCCAGCAGCUCUUCCACUGGGCUCAGCAUGUUUUCUGGAGGAAACCCUGGAAGCUUUCCCAGGGAGCGAUUCAUCAGGUGUCCCACAGCAGCUCCAUGGAAUCGGACUCCGGUGCCGUCAGUAAUGAGCCGAACGGGUCGGCGGUGUGUCGCUACGACUCGCUCAUCUGAGGCUCCAUUGGUGGGGGAGAUUUGAGAUCAAACGGCCUAAAAACGGCCUCGCCUGUUCAGUUUGAGUCUCUGUCACAUUGAGCCGAUGGACACUGAAAAAGAGGAGACACAGCGAGCUUCUCCUACUGACCAGAUCUGAGAGAAGAAAAUGAAGAUUUAACUAUAUCGUCCUGAUGAGUAGCUGCUUUCUGACCCAGAUGAACUCCAUCCAUUCCUGGUUCUGUCCCUCAAGCCAUCCGGGUUCUCUCCAUCCAUCCAUCCAUCCAUCUUGGUUCCCUUCCAUUCCUGCGUGACCAUUUUGAUGUCUUUACAGGGAUGUUCUCACAAUCUGUUAAAAUAAAAAUUAAUAAAACCAGAAAAUCCUUGGAGUUUGUCUUUGAAUGUGGAGAUUCGACAUGAAGAUUGCUUUGAGAUGACAGAAAAGGGGGCAAUAUUAAACAUCGGGGACAAUGUUAUCCCCAAUGUUUAAAGUUCUCCAGAUGUUUAAUGUUCCCAAUGUAUUUUAUCUCCACUGCGUAACAUUGUCCUUAAUGUUUAAGGUUUACUGUAUCUUUACUGUUUUACUUUAUUUCCAAUGUUUAAUACAAAAGGUAACUUUUCUGGAGAUGAAACUGUCAAUAAUGUAAAUAUAAAUAAAUAUUUAUUUGGAUUCAGGUCAAAGAUAAUUCAGUGCUGUAACGGGUAUUAAUUAAUGGAGAUGCUCAUUGUUGCUCAUACAUCUUGUCAACAGUCUACCUCAAUAAAGAAACCCGCAAAACCACAAA